rfam:Schistosoma margrebowiei strain Zambia genome assembly, scaffold: SMRZ_contig0004389
GCACUGCUGAUGAGCCCCAUACUAGGACGAAACGGCCGUCUAGUGC